GAUGAACGCUGGCGGCGUGCCUAACACAUGCAAGUCGAGCGAAAAGACGAGGCGCUUGCGGCUUCGACGUUAGCGGAGGACGGGUGAGUAACACGUAGAUAACCUACCUAUAUGACGGGGAUAACUACGGAAAAGCGGCGCUAAUACCGGAUAAUAUUCCGCACCGCAUGGUUCGAUGGUGAAAGAUGGCUUUGCUGUCACUUAUCGAUGCACAUGCGCCGUAUUAGCUAGUUGGUAAGUUAACGGCUUACCAAGGGAACGAGACGUAGACGAACGGAGGGGGUGGUCGGCCACACUGGAACUGGGACGCGCUCCAGGGUCCUGCGGGAGGCAGCAGAAGGCUAUCGGCCGCAAUAGGCGAGAGCCUGACGCAGCGACGCGGAGUGAGUUACGGAGGUCCUCGGAGCGUAAAGCUCUGUUAUGAGGUAUGAACAACCGUGUAAGUUACUGAGCACGGCGUGACGGUAACUAAUCAGAAAGCCCCGGCUAACUACGUG
rnacentral:rRNA from 1 species